UUGAACGCUGGCGGCAGGCCUAACACAUGCAAGUCGCACGGUAACAGGAAGAAGCUUGCUUCUUUGCUGACGAGUGGCGGACGGGUGAGUAAUGUCUGGGAAACUGCCUGAUGGAGGGGGAUAACUACUGGAAACGGUAGCUAAUACCGCAUAACGUCGCAAGACCAAAAAGGGGGACCUUCGGGCCUCUUGCCAUCGGAUGUGCCCAGAUGGGAUUAGCUAGUAGGUGGGGUAACGGCUCACCUAGGCGACGAUCCCUAGCUGGUCUGAGAGGAUGACCAGCCACACUGGAACUGAGACACGGUCCAGACUCCUACGGGAGGCAGCAGUGGGGAAUAUUGCACAAUGGGCGCAAGCCUGAUGCAGCCAUGCCGCGUGUAUGAAGAAGGCCUUCGGGUUGUAAAGUACUUUCAGCGGGGAGGAAGGGAGUAAAGUUAAUACCUUUGCUCAUUGACGUUACCCGCAGAAGAAGCACCGGCUAACUCCGUG
rnacentral:rRNA from 1 species